UAUGCUUCCUGGCGGCGAGUGGCGGACGGGUGAGUAAUACGUAGGAAUCUACCUUAUAGAGGGGGACAACCUGGGGGAAACUCGGGCUAAUACUGCAUGAUCUCUAUGGAGUAGCGGGGAUCUUCUGGACCUCGCGCUAUAAGAUGAGCCAUGUCGGAUUAGCUUGCUGGUGGGGUAAUUGCCUACUAAAGGCGACGAUCCGUAGCUGGUCUGAGAGGAUGAUCAGCCACACUGGGACUGAGACACGGCCCAGACUCCUACGGGAGGCAGCAGGGGAAUCUUGGACAAUGGGGGAAACCCCUGAUCCAGCAAUGCCGCGUGUGUGAAGAAGGCCCUCGGGUUGUAAAGCACUUUCAGUAGGGAAGAAGUUCUCAAGAGUAAUAUACUUGAGCGUUGACGUUACCUACAGAAGAAGCACUGGCUAACUCUCUGCGCCAGCAGCCGCGGUAAUACAGCAGUGCGAGUUGGAAUCACUGGGCGUAAAGAGCGCGUAGGUGGAUAUUUAAGUCGGAUGUGAAAGCCUCAGGCUUAACCUAGGAACUGCACUCGAUACUGAGAGUUUUCGAGUAUGGUAGAGGGAAGUGGAAUUUUCGGUGUAGCGGUGAAAUGCGUAGACAUCGGAAAGAACACCAGUGGCGAAGGCGGCUUCCUGGACCAAUACUGACACUGAGAAAAACAGCGUAAAGCAAACAGGAUUAGAGACCCUGGUAGUCCACGUCAACGAUGAGAACUAGCUGUUGGAGAGUUUACUUUCAGUAGCGAAGCUAACGCGUUAAGUUCUCCGCUCAGAGUACGGCCGCAAGGUUAAAACUCAAAGAAAUUGACGGGGGGCCCGCACAAGCGGUGGAGCAUGUGGUUUAAUUCGAUGCAACGCGAAAACCUUACCUUUGACAUCCUCAGAACUUGUCAGAAAAUGACUUGGUGCCUUCGGGAACUGAGUGACAGGUGCUGCAUGGCCGUCGUCAGCUCGUGUCGUGAGAUGUUGGGUUAAGUCCCGUAACGAGCGCAACCCUCGUCCCAGGUUGCCAGCGGUUCAGUCGGAACUCUAUGAGACUGCCGGUGAUAAACCGAGGAAGGUGGGGAUGAUGUCAAGUCAUCAUGGCCCUUACGGGUAGGGCUCACACACGUGCUACAAUGGGCAGCGUACAAAGGGUUGCCAAACCAUAAGGUGGAGCCAAUCCCAAAACUGCUCUUAGUCCGGAUUGAAGUCUGCAACUCGACUUCAUGAAGCUGGAAUCGCUGGGGUAAUCGCGAACUAGAAUGUCGCGGUGAAUACGUUCUCGGGCCUUGACGACACCGCCCGUCAGUUCAUGGGGAGGAAUUGUACCAGAAGCGGGUAGUUGAACUCGUGGAGGCCGCUCACCACGGUGUGGUUCAUGACUGUACGGUGAAGUAACAAGGUAAACG
rnacentral:rRNA from 1 species